rnacentral:rRNA from 1 species
AUUAGAGUUUGAUCCUGGCUCAGGACGAAGCUGGCGGCGUGCCUAAUACAUGCAAGUCGAGCGGACUGAUGGGAGCUUGCUCCCUAAAGUCAGCGGCGGACGGGUGAGUAACACGUGGGCAACCUGCCUGUAAGACUGGGAUAACUUCGGGAAACCGGGAGCUAAUACCGGAUAACACCAAGGACCUCAUGGUCCUUGGUUGAAAGAUGGCUUCGGCUAUCACUUACAGAUGGGCCCGCGGCGCAUUAGCUAGUUGGUGAGGUAACGGCUCACCAAGGCGACGAUGCUAGCCGACCUGAGAGGGUGAUCGGCCACACUGGGACUGAGACACGGCCCAGACUCCUACGGGAGGCAGCAGUAGGGAAUCUUCCGCAAUGGACGAAAGUCUGACGGAGCAACGCCGCGUGAGCGAUGAAGGCCUUCGGGUCGUAGCACUGUUGUUAGGGAAGAACAAGUACCGUUCGAAU